GACAGAGGUGCCGAGCGUUAGGCGGAAUCACUGGGCUUAAAGCGUGUGUAGGCGGACUUCUAAGUACCUUGUGAAAUCCCACGGCUCAACCGUGGAACUGCUUGGUAUACUGGUUGUCUUGAGCCACUUAGGGGCAGUCGGAACAGACGGUGGAGCGGUGAAAUGCGUAGAGAUUGGAAAGAACACCGAUGGCGAAGGCACUUUACUGGGCUAUUACUAACACUCAGAGACGAAAGCUAGGGUAGCAAAUGGG
rnacentral:rRNA from 1 species